rnacentral:rRNA from 1 species
GACAGAGGGUGCAAACGUUGUUCGGAAUUACUGGGCGUAAAGCGAGUGUAGGCGGUUUGGCAAGUCGGAUGUGAAAGCCCCGGGCUCAACCCGGGAAGUGCACUCGAUACUCCCAAGCUAGAGUAUCGGAGAGGUUGGCGGAAUUCUCGGUGUAGAGGUGAAAUUCGUAGAUAUCGAGAGGAACACCGGCGGCGAAGGCGGCCAACUGGACGAAUACUGACGCUGAGACUCGAAAGCGUGGGGAGCAAACAGG